AGUGAACGCUGGCGGUAGGCCUAACACAUGCAAGUCGAACGGCAGCACAGGAGAGCUUGCUCUCUGGGUGGCGAGUGGCGGACGGGUGAGGAAUACAUCGGAAUCUACUUUUUCGUGGGGGAUAACGUAGGGAAACUUACGCUAAUACCGCAUACGACCUACGGGUGAAAGCAGGGGACCUUCGGGCCUUGCGCGAUUGAAUGAGCCGAUGUCGGAUUAGCUAGUUGGCGGGGUAAAGGCCCACCAAGGCGACGAUCCGUAGCUGGUCUGAGGGGAUGAUCAGCCAGACUGGAACUGGGACACGGUGCAGACUCCUACGGGAGGCAGCAGUGGGGAAUAUUGGACAAGGGGCGCAAGCCUGAUCCAGCCAUACCGCGUGGGUGAAGAAGGCCUUCGGGUUGUAAAGCCCUUUUGUUGGGAAAGAAAUCCAGCUGGUUAAUACCCGGUUGGGAUGACGGUACCCAAAGAAUAAGCACCGGCUAACUUCGUGCCAGCCGCCGCAGUAA
rnacentral:rRNA from 1 species